AUUUCGUAGGAACAUCAGGGUACGCACUAGCGUCUGUUGAGCGCGAAGAUGGAUCAGUGGUACUGCUCCACAACAGCAGCAGGAGUACGGGGGCGUCCACACCAGCAGGAACUAGCUUGCUUCGUCCCAUCAGCGAAAG